CCUGCUUGCCUUUAGAAACUAAGUGUGGGCGUGGCCUGAAAAACAAACAUGGCGACCCAUCCUUAGCUUCUGAGGUCUUGUAGA
rnacentral:pre_miRNA from 12 species